GUUGUCGUUUGUUUAUGUGUUACAUAUUUGUUUUUCUUUCAUUUUUUUUAUAUAAAUAAGGCCGUUAGUUUUCUCGUUUGAAUUGUUUUGCAUUGUGUUAUCGGGGCCUUUUAUAGCUGACUAUGCCGUAUGAGCUUUGCUCAUUGUUGAAGGCCGUACGGUGACCUAUAGUUGUUAAUGUCUGUGUCAUUUUGGUCUCUUGUGGACAGUUGUCUCAUUGGCAAUCAUACCACAUCUUCUUUUUUAUAUU
rnacentral:lncRNA from 1 species